GUAUGUCAUACGCUCGUCUCAAAGAUUAAGCCAUGCAUGUGUAAGUAUAAAUAGUUAACUUUGAAACUGCGAAUGGCUCAUUAUAUCAGUUAUAGUUUAUUUGAUGAAGAAUACUAAUUGGAUAACCGUAGUAAUUCUAGAGCUAAUACAUGUAUAAAGUCUUGUAGACUGCAUUUAUUAGAAUGAAAACCAUAGGUUUCGGCCUAUUCGUGAGUAAUAAUAACUAAUCAUAUCGUAUGCUUAUGUAACGAUGUGUCUUUCAAGUUUCUGCCCUAUCAGCUUUCGAUGGUAGUGUAUUG
rnacentral:rRNA from 1 species